rnacentral:rRNA from 1 species
UUUGCGGCAUGGGANGGGGUCGCGUCCUAUCAGCUUGAUGGCGGGGUAACGGCCCACCAUGGCUUCGACGGGUAGCCGGCCUGAGAGGGCGACCGGCCACAUUGGGACUGAGAUACGGCCCAGACUCCUACGGGAGGCAGCAGUGGGGAAUAUUGCACAAUGGGCGCAAGCCUGAUGCAGCGACGCCGCGUGAGGGAUGGAGGCCUUCGGGUUGUAAACCUCUUUUGUUAGGGAGCAAGGCACUUUGUGUUGAGUGUACCUUUCGAAUAAGCACCGGCUAACUACGUGCCAGCAGCCGCGGUAAUACGUAGGGUGCAAGCGUUAUCCGGAAUUAUUGGGCGUAAAGGGCUCGUAGGCGGUUCGUCGCGUCCGGUGUGAAAGUCCAUCGCUUAACGGUGGAUCCGCGCCGGGUACGGGCGGGCUUGAGUGCGGUAGGGGAGACUGGAAUUCCCGGUGUAACGG